ensembl:ribozyme RNaseP_nuc Nuclear RNase P
GGUAGAGGAAGCUCAUCAGUGGGGCCAUGUGCUGAGUGCUCCUCACUCCCUGGCCCCUGGGAAAGUCUGAGACUGGGGCCUAAGAGGACCUAACAGGGCCCUCCCUGAAAGGGGAGGUGAGUUCCCAAAGAUCAGGGCUCCACGAGUGGGCAGACUAGGCAGGAGAGGCCCCGAGUAGGUAGCAUUUUAGUUGAAACAUUUCACUUGUUUGUUUUCUUUAAACUUUGCAAAAUGCCAUUAAUGCCAAGAUUACCCUGUAAAUAUGUGUCAGAAAAACAGUUGAAUUAAUUGAUCUGAGAAAAAAAAUGCCAUAGGUUCUGUAUUGUCAUUUACGAUCAUAUUAGUUAGUGUUUCUCUUUCUAGGCAACUGAAAUACACUCCAUUUUUC